CCCGCAUUGAUUUUGUCACUGGUCAGUAUCCCACAUUUUCCAUAAAAAAUUUAAAACGGGAUCGCAGGUCCUUGGUAGGGCAAAUCAUAACAAUAAUUUCGAGACCAUCACAAUCGUGUCCUCGGCAAUGGAAGAACUUUGUGUCAGUUGAUAGAAACAAAGUUGUUCUUUUUGAAUUCUUUGUGUCAGAAUUGAGUAAACAAUCCUAUAGAUUUACACUUGAAGGAAUUGAUUUAUUUGUAUCACAUGGAAGUAUGUGCCACAAAAUUUCUGUUGAAAAUGAAAUAGUGACAAGUGUAAAAUGCACUGAGCUUUUAAGCAAACAGAAAAAAGCCGACACAAAAUUUGGGGAGAAUGUUUGUAGAGCACUGCCAGGAUUUCACGCUUUUAAUGGUUGUGAUUCAGUUAGUGCUUUGUCCGGUAAAGGAAAAAGAAAAGCAUUCGGCGUUUUGACACGUUCUGUGGAGUUUUCAGAAGGUCUAUCCCGUCUUGGUGAAACUUUUGAAGAGAUAGGCGAAGAACUGUCAAAAACACUCGAGAGGUUUUUAUGUGCUAUAUAUGGCUACGAGAAUAAUAACAUCAAUGAAUUAAGAUUCAGAAUGUUUUGCAAUGCAAAAAACAUUCAUUGUCAUUUAUUGCUCCCAACAAAAGAUGCAAUGUUAAAGCACAUCAAACGAGCCAACUUUCAGGCAAAGAUUUGGAAAUCUGCUCUUCAAA
rnacentral:lncRNA from 1 species